rnacentral:lncRNA from 1 species
CAUAGGAUGUGGAUGGAUGAAUAGUGAGAGAUGAGAAAGGAUGAGCUAAGGAGAGAGGCCAUUGAGCCUCCUUUGCUUUGGAAGGGUAACAAGCAAAGCACUCCCCUUCUCCCCACUGCCACCUCCAGCCAGAUGCAGCUACAAUCCAAUAAUUGCACCAACCAGCAGUCCCUGAAUGGUUACUGCAAAGGUGUCUCUCUAGAGGCCACUGGGGCUGCAACACAGGGCCAAGAAGGGACAGCCUUUCCUUCCCUCUGACAGCACGGCCCUGUAUUGAACAGCUUUGUGAACAUAUUCUGGGACUACUAACGUCUGUGCCUGCCUCUUGCAGAGAGGGCUUGAGGGCUGCCAGCACAUU